rnacentral:rRNA from 1 species
UGAUACGCGAGGAACCUUACCCGGGCUCGAACGGUGCAGGAAUAUGGUAGAGAUAUCAUAGCUAGCAAUAGUCUGUAUCGAGGUGCUGCAUGGUUGUCGUCAGCUCGUGCCGUGAGGUGUCGGCUUAAGUGCCAUAACGAGCGCAACCCUUGUCGUUAGUUACCAUCAAGUAAUGUUGGGGACUCUAGCGAGACUGCCACCGUAAGGUGUGAGGAAGGGGGGGAUGACGUCAAAUCAGCACGGCCCUUACGUCCGGGGCGACACACGUGUUACAAUGGUAGGUACAGAGGGGCGCUAUCCAGCGAUGGAGUGCGAAUCUCAAAAACCUAUCUCAGUUCGGAUCGGAGUCUGCAACUCGACCCCGUGAAGUUGGAUUCGCUAGUAAUCGCGCAUCAGCCAUGGCGCGGUGAAUACGUUCCCGGGCCUU